GGGCAUAUGGUGUAGUUGGUUAUCACGCUCGCUUAGCACUGUGUCUAGGCCCGAAGUUCCAUGCGAGAGGUCUUCGGUUCAACUCCGAAUAUGUCCA